rnacentral:rRNA from 1 species
GAUGAACGCUGGCGGCGUGCUUAACACAUGCAAGUCGAACGAAGCAUUUAGAACAGAUUACUUCGGUUUGAAGUUCUUUAUGACUGAGUGGCGGACGGGUGAGUAACGCGUGGGUAACCUGCCUUGUACUGGGGGAUAGCAGCUGGAAACGGCUGGUAAUACCGCAUAAGCGCACAAUGUUGCAUGACAUGGUGUGAAAAACUCCGGAGGUAUAAGAUGGACCCGCGUCUGAUUAGCUAGUUGGUGAGAUAACAGCCCACCAAGGCGACGAUCAGUAGCCGACCUGAGAGGGUGACCGGCCACAUUGGGACUGAGACACGGCCCAGACUCCUACGGGAGGCAGCAGUGGGGAAUAUUGCACAAUGGAGGAAACUCUGAUGCAGCGACGCCGCGUGAGUGAAGAAGUAAUUCGUUAUGUAAAGCUCUAUCAGCAGGGAAGAUAGUGAUGGUACCUGACUAAGAAGCGCCGGCUAAAUACGUG